AGCCAUUCCAUGUUUCCUAGGAAAGGCAGAGCACUGCUGAAAGCAAAUUGGAGAAUGGUGAGCCCGUGUGGAGUUUUAAUAGCAAGGAAGAUGUAUGUCUAAGAGAUAGUGAUGAGGAGACAACCCAGAAUGGCUGCCAAAAACAAAGGCAUAUCCUGAUCAUCAUCUACUAGAACAGCAAGAGAAGAUAAAACUGGAUGUGCGAGUUCAAAGGUCUACAUUUUGCAAUACGAGAGAACAGCUGAAUUGAACUAGGGAGACAUGAAUUUGUCAUGAAUAAAUCUUGCAGAAGGACUGUAUUCAAACUAUGGAGAUAUGAUAUACAGUGAAUAUAUUUGUGGUUAGCAAAAUGAUGUUACAGUUUUAUGAUAAUAAAUUUCUUAUAAAAAAGAAAGAGUUCUAAUUUAUUGUAUUAUCUUUAGUAUCUUGCACAGUUCUGGCAUGAAUUAGAUAUUAAAACUUUCUACUCCAAAUUAAGCAAU
rnacentral:lncRNA from 10 species